GUUGCCUGCCAAAUGAAUCUAAGUUCCACCUUGACCCUCCCCACAGGACCAUAACCUAGCCCUCAUGUGAUGAGGCAAGGGCAGUUUAAAGGGGGUACAGCCCCUUUAAAAAAGAGCACAAUCUCUCCUAGCGGAUAACCCUUACCCCCUCCCAAAUUGUAGGCCCUUAAGCAGCCACCCAUAAAGAGUGCGUCAAAGCUCAACACUAAAAAAUCCGAAAACAACCUGACUCCCUUACCACUAACAGGCCAACCUAUAACAAUAGGAGAACUACUGCUAAAAUAAGUAACCCGGGGCAACCCUCUAGAGCGCGAGCUUACACCACCAUGUUAUUAACAGACCAUGUUUAAUGUUACAACCCAACAGGACAAACCAUUAACACUCCACCGUUAGCCCGACACAGGAGCGCCCACAAGAAAGAUUAAAAUCUGCAAAAGGAACUAGGCAAACCCAAGGCCCGACUGUUUACCAAAAACAUAGCCUUCAGCCAACCAAGUAUUGAAGGUGAUGCCUGCCCAGUGACAUCAUGUUUAACGGCCGCGGUAUCCUA
rnacentral:rRNA from 1 species